ACCUGCUUUGGUAAUUCUGUCUUCUCUGCUUUUUAGCAGGUACUUUCCUAACUGCAAAAAAAGGUGCUUCCUCAAAAGAUCAAUUUACUGAAGAAUUAGGAAGAUCAUUAAUUUUGCCCCUGCUGCAACCACACAUGCAGUGUUCAAAUAGGUGUGAUGUCCUUCAAGAACUUUUCAUGGUCAUCAGCUGAACGUUCAAAGAGAUCAACAAGUAGAGGAGAAAAAUGAUGUUGAAUUCCUGACAACAAAAAUGAAGUCAUAAACUGUUGUUCUGUCUGACCAUCAACAAAAUAUAAUGAUUCUGGAAUAAAAUCCUGUGAACUACAGUGGGACUGGCACUGCGGCAGCUACAAGCUUAGAGAGUUUUACAACAGCUAUAGGGAAAUGUAAAAAUUGAGAAUUUAAUGCUAGAAAAUCACUUUCUUUGAAUGAUAAGAUCUGCAGCUGUUCACUAUCACAAUGGUGAGAAUCCAGAAAUGAAUGUUAUGGUGAAGUAUGACACGUAUACCAAGAGACUGGUGUAAACCUGUGAAGUUCCCAGGUGUUGUUGCUAACUGAGGAAAAACUGGCUGAUGUCCAUGGCAAAUAGUACUGAGAAUUUAACGGUGCAUAGUACUAAGCGAUGAUGCUCAGAAAUGAAAGAUGAUGGUUGAACACCACUCAGGGCCUUUUUAAGACACUGAGAGGCCCAGGCCAGUGGGGAAGAUGCCAGAUAGCUGGAAGUAAAGCCUCAAGAAUUAGAGGAGGACAGACUGGAAAAUGAAGAGGAAGAUACCUCAGAGUAAAGUGGAGUACAUGUUGGAGAAUAGAUGCUGCCCAUAGAUUUCUACGCCCCUUGUGUGCUUGCUGUUGAAGAAGUAGUGCAGGAGGAAGAAAGGGCCUUGAAGAAAGGCUGGAGAAGAGCAGCUGUUGAUAGAUUUCUUCACCCCCUGUGUGCCAGCUGUGGAAGAGAAAGUGCAGGAGGAGUUGUGUGCAUGUGGAGAAGCUGCCAGUACCUGGACAAAAGGCUAUGCAAGAGAAAGUACAGGAGGAAAAGUUGGAGUUAUGUGUGCAUGUCAAAGAGGAGCUGCCAGUACCUGGAAGAAUAGAAACGAAGAGGAAAAAGCUAGCUGUCAAUAGUUGCUAAUAAGAAAAGAAUGGUGAAGAAUAGCCCAGAACUUUCAAAGGAAGAAGAAUUUGCUCUGAGAUAUCCCAGCUGUGGAAUUAGUCUUAGGCUCUUCAGGAAACCUUUAUACAGUAGGGCCCUGCUCAUAUGGCAGGUUCCAUUCCGGACCGCCGCUGUAAAGCGAAAUCCACCGUAAAGCGGAACGCAUCCACUAACAUUGUCUAAAAUGGUGCCCAACGCCCAAAAAAUGCCAUAAAAGUGGAACAAGCGCCGUAGGAGUGGGGCCUUUCUGCAAUUGACAACCGCUGUAUCGAUGGAACACUGCAAAGUGGGGCGCUGCAAAGCAGGGCCCUACUGUAUUGCAAAAUAUAAGACAGCCUUUCAUAGAUCACAUGAGCAGGGGGAACAAUCUCAGUUAUUAUUCCAUGGGGUCACCUUUUUCUCAGUGACUCACUUCUGGUGACCCAUCUGUACAUAGGAUCAACAUAAAAUGAAUCAUAGAGUUUCAUCCCUGUGAACCUUUCCCAACCUUGCAGGAUGGACAGGGUAGAAUAAGCCAUGUGAUGAUCACCUACAUUUCAAUUAUUUAGUUGUUUUAUUUUUAUAUUUGGACUUUUCAGCAUUGCCAGACAUUUUUAUCCUGUUGCACCCCACUGAAACUAAGGCAGUAUUUCACAAAGAGAAGGUCACAUGAACAUACAAUGCUGCCUUAUGCUGAGUAACAUGUUUAUCUGGCCCAGCCUACUCUAUUCUUACUGGCAGCAACUCUCUGAGGCCUUAGUUGGAGUCUUUUCCAGCCCUAGUGCUUACAAUCCUUUUUAUAUAACUGUGAGGUCAGAGAAUGAACCUGGUCCCUUCUUCAUACAAAGCUCUGCCACUGUGCUAUGAUUUCCUUUCCAAGUUUCCAGAGGAUUAUGUUACAUCUUAAUAAAUGAAAUCUGCAAUAUCAAUAUGGCAACCUCAUUUUGUAUAUGGACAACUGUCCAAUAUAGAUAUAUAGAGUAUUAUUU